rnacentral:rRNA from 1 species
GACGAACCGUGCGAACGUUGUUCGGAAUCACUGGGCUUAAAGGGCGCGUAGGCGGGUUCCCAAGUCCGGGGUGAAAUCUUUCGGCUUAACCGGAAAAUAGCCUCGGAUACUGGGAGUCUUGAGGGAGGUAGGGGCAGCUGGAACUUCCGGUGGAGCGGUGAAAUGCGUUGAUAUCGGAAGGAACGCCGGUGGCGAAAGCGAGCUGCUGGACCUCGUUCUGACGCUGAGGCGCGAAAGCCAGGGGAGCAAACGGG